GGGCUUUUGAGAGCAUUCUGCCUGCCUAUGUAUCACUAUAAACACUACGAAGUAACAGAAUGUAAUCGCGUCUAACGCAUCUUAAUACAACUUUCAGCAACGGAUCUCUUGGCUCUCGCAUCGAUGAAGAACGCAGCGAAAUGCGAUAAGUAAUGUGAAUUGCAGAAUUCAGUGAAUCAUCGAAUCUUUGAACGCACCUUGCGCUCCUUGGUAUUCCGAGGAGCAUGCCUGUUUGAGUGUCAUGGUAUUCUCAACCCACAUAUCCUUGUGAUGCUUGUGAGGCUUGGACUUGGAGGCUUGCUGGCCCAUCGCGGUCGGCUCCUCUUGAAUGCAUUAGCUUGGUUCCUUGCGGAUCGGCUCUCAGUGUGAUAAUUGUCUACGCUGUGACCGUGAAGCGUUUGGCGAGCUUCUAACCGUCCUGCUAGGGACAACUUACUUGACAUCUGACCUCAAAUCAGGUAGGACUACCCGCUGAACUUAAGCAUAUCAAUAAGCGGAGGA
rnacentral:rRNA from 1 species